AUUUUGCGCAAUGGGCGAAAGCCUGACGCAGCGACGCCGCGUGAAGGAUGAAGGUCUUCGGAUUGUAAACUUCUGUUAAGUGGGAAGAAAGCUCUAGUCCUAAUACGACUAGGGAAUGACGGUACCAUUAGAGAAAGCACCGGCUAACCUCGUGCCAGCAGCCGCGGUAAUACGAGGGGUGCAAGCGUUAUUCGGAAUGAUUGGGUGUAAAGGGUGCGUAGGCGGUCUGCUAAGUCAAUUGUUUAAUCUCCCGGCCUAACCGGGAAUCAGCAGUAGAUACUGGCGAACUAGAGGGUGGAAGAGAGAAGUGGAAUUCUCGGAGUAGCGGUAAAAUGCGUAGAUCUCGAGAGGAACACCGAUGGCGAAGGCAGCUUCUUGGUCCACAUCUGACGCUGAGGCACGAAAGCGUGGGGAGCAAACAGG
rnacentral:rRNA from 1 species